rnacentral:rRNA from 1 species
AGAGUUUGAUCCUGGCUCAGAGCGAACGCUGGCGGCAGGCUUAACACAUGCAAGUCGAGCGGGCGUAGCAAUACGUCAGCGGCAGACGGGUGAGUAACGCGUGGGAACGUACCUUUUGGUUCGGAACAACACAGGGAAACUUGUGCUAAUACCGGAUAAGCCCUUACGGGGAAAGAUUUAUCGCCGAAAGAUCGGCCCGCGUCUGAUUAGCUAGUUGGUGAGGUAAUGGCUCACCAAGGCGACGAUCAGUAGCUGGUCUGAGAGGAUGAUCAGCCACAUUGGGACUGAGACACGGCCCAAACUCCUACGGGAGGCAGCAGUGGGGAAUAUUGGACAAUGGGGGCAACCCUGAUCCAGCCAUGCCGCGUGAGUGAUGAAGGCCCUAGGGUUGUAAAGCUCUUUUGUGCGGGAAGAUAAUGACGGUACCGCAAGAAUAAGCCCCGGCUAACUUCGUGCCAGCAGCGGCGGUAAUUC